rnacentral:rRNA from 1 species
GUGGAUUAGAUACCCUGGUAGUCCACACGGUAAACGAUGAAUACUCGCUGUUGGCGAUAUAAUGUCAGCGGCCAAGCGAAAGCAUUAAGUAUUCCACCUGGGGAGUACGCCGGCAACGGUGAAACUCAAAGGAAUUGACGGGGGCCCGCACAAGCGGAGGAACAUGUGGUUUAAUUCGAUGAUACGCGAGGAACCUUACCCGGGCUUAAAUUGCACUGGACAGGCCAAGAGAUUGGUUUUUCUUCGGACCAGUGUGAAGGUGCUGCACGGCCGUCGUCCACU